rnacentral:lncRNA from 1 species
AAGAAGGCAAUCUAUUUAUCAAAUAUGUAGCAGUAAGUAUACACUCUACCAAAUAUCUUAUUGGCAAUUUGGAUUGAUAAAGUAAGGCUCUAGCUGUUUCUAGUAAGUAUUUAUAUUUUCUCUCAACCACACCAUUUUGUUGCAGUGUGUAUGGAUAAGUUUUCUGGUAGAUUAUACUUUUCUCUUGAAAAUAUAGCAUGGCUUUGUUGUUCAAAAUUUCCAGCCUAUUGUCCACCUAACAGUCUUGACUGAUGUAUUGACCUGAUUUCAGUCAUGAAAACAAGAGCUUUGAUGGCUUAAAGAGUGUUACUUUUGCUACUUAAGAGAUGAGUCUAGAUUGAUCUAUUGAAAUCAUCCUCCAUUGUAAGGAGUAUUAGUAAUUGUCAUGUGUAGUUGUGUGAUAGGAAACCCAUAAAUCUAUUUGUAAGAGUUCAAAUAUUUUGGUAGUAUAUGAAGUUCUUUGGCUAAAAGGUAACCUUGUCUGACUUGCUGGCGAGUGAAUAGUUUUUUGUGGGAAAAUUCAACAACUAUUGUGGAAAUAGUUCUCAUUUUUACAACGUGUACAUGGCCUAGUCUGUUAUGCCAUAGAUGUUCAUUUUUGUUUUUUUGAGUUGAUAAGAUAACAGAAGAGAGCUUACAUUAAAGGAAGAGUCGGUUUUAUUGCUUGAGUGAAGAUUAUUUACAUUGACAUUGUUAUGUGACUAAGAUGACUUAUUUACAUUUGACAAGGAUUGCGUAGGGGAAUUGUUACACUUUCCGAAAACAAGAAUGAGACCAAAUAUUGACUAGGAGAUAAAAGGAACCAAACUCUGAACAUCUAUGACACUCAGGGCAAAUGAAGUACAAUCCACUCCUUGCCUUACCAAUCUCCAGAGGCCUUUUCAUUGAAGGGGCAUGCAUCAUGCAAAGGUAUUUACUGAAGUUAACUAUGCAAUUGAGGUAAUCAGUUAAAGCAUGAACGUAGAUGAGAUUGUAUUUGAAAGUUGGCACAUAUAGAAAUUUAACUAAGUUAACAUAGGACCAAGAGAUGCAUCUCCAAUUUCUGUCACUCUCAAUCUAUAUCUAUUGGAUAAGAUGACUAGGAAAAGAUAGGGAAAAGUUCUAAAUUUUUUAUAAAAAAAGACUUUUUGUAUAUCAUAUGAUUUGAGGCUCCACUAUCUAAUAUUCACAAGAUAGCCAUUGAUUUAGAACAUCUACACACAAUUAUUUCAGCAAUCUUUUUAUAGGUAGAACAAACUAGAAUACCUGCAAAGUUUGCAGCUCCACAAGUCAUGUUGUUGUUAAGGCCUUCUCCUGUGUUUCUUCCCGUGAAUAUCGCCAACAGACUAAGCAAUUGAUUGUACUACUCCUUUGUUAAGAUCUGAAGUCCCUAACCUUGAUUUCCUUCUUCCAUCUCCUCAGAAUCUACAUGACCAUUUGCAGUAGAUCCUGCAUUUUUCCCUUUUGUGAACUUGAAAUCUUGUGGAAAGCCAUGAAUUUAGUAACAGUUGUCCCUGAUAUGUCAUGGCUUUUUAUACACAGAACAUAUGAGACUUAGCAUGUGGAUAGUUUGAUUUGUUAGAAUUGUAUGAGUUUUUCCAGUACUGCCUCCUCUCUAAUUGUAAUUUAUCCUGAACUUGGCAUUGCCGGGU